rnacentral:rRNA from 1 species
CGCCAGACUCCUACGGGAGGCAGCAGUGGGGAAUAUUGGGCAAUGGGCGCAAGCCUGACCCAGCAAUGCCGCGUGAAGGAAGAAGGCCUUCGGGUUGUAAACUUCUUUUAUCAGGGACGAAGGAUGUGACGGUACCUGAUGAAUAAGCUCCGGCUAACUACGUGCCAGCAGCCGCGGUAAUACGUAGGGAGCAAGCGUUAUCCGGAUUUAUUGGGUGUAAAGGGCGUGUAGGCGGGAAUGCAAGUCAGAUGUGAAAACUCAGGGCUCAACCCUGAGCCUGCAUUUGAAACUGUAUUUCUCGAGUGCUGGAGAGGCAAUCGGAAUUCCGUGUGUAGCGGUGAAAUGCGUAGAUAUACGGAGGAACACCAGUGGCGAAGGCGGAUUGCUGGACAGUAACUGACGCUGAGGCGCGAAAGCGUGGGGAGCAAACAGGAUUAGAUACCCGCGUAA